rnacentral:miRNA from 1 species
UCAGAGGCGGAACAGUAGGUU